rnacentral:rRNA from 1 species
UACGGAGGGGGUUAGCGUUGUUCGGAAUUACUGGGCGUAAAGCGCGCGUAGGCGGACUAUUAAGUCAGAGGUGAAAUCCCGGGGCUCAACCCCGGAACUGCCUUUGAUACUGGUAGUCUUGAGUUCGAGAGAGGUAAGUGGAAUUCCGAGUGUAGAGGUGAAAUUCGUAGAUAUUCGGAGGAACACCAGUGGCGAAGGCGGCUUACUGGCUCGAUACUGACGCUGAGGUGCGAAGUGUGGGGAGCAAAACAGGAUUAGAUACCCCGGUAGUCC